CUUUAUUCAACCUAGGAUCGCCUGGUUGGUACUAAUGAGCUUUGCUGCUGUUCAGUCACCCAGUCGAGUCCGAUUCUUCGCAGCCCUGUGGACUGCAGCCUGCCAGGCCUCUCUGUCCCUCCCUAUCUCCCAGAGUUGGCCCAGGUUCAUGUCCAAUGAAUCAGCAAUGCUAGUGAGAUUUGGUGGCAGCAGCAGGACAAAGGGGAUUUCUGAUGGCUUUGGAGACAGCAGGAGACAGGUGUGGCGCCCCGUGAACCCUUUGGGCUCACUGUCUUUCUGGCCAUUUCCAAGGAUCCUGGUUCCAUGUCGGGAACAGCCGGUGACCACUGCAGUUUCCCAUUUGUCUGGAAGAAGCCUGCAAUUCUCAUUCUUUGGAGUCUGCGGGUUCAGUCCUUUCCUCAGUCCCUGGUUCCAUGUUGGGAACUGGUCAUGGUGUCCACAGGACCUUUUCUGGGCCAGGAUGCAGUAACAGCUCUUGAUCUUCACCGAUAUAUUAAGGUCUAUGGUGAUGGAAUUCCAGCUGAGCUCUUUCAAAUCCUAAAAGAUGAUGCUGUGAAGGUGCUGCACUCAACAUGCCAGCAAAUUUGGAAAACUCAGCAGUGGCCACAGGACUGGAAAAGGUCAGUUUUCAUUCCAGUCUCAAAGAAAGGCAAUGCCAAAGAAUGCUCAAACUACCGCACAAUUGCACUCAUCUCACACGCUAGUAAAGUAAUGCUCAAAAUUCUCCAAGCCAGGCUUCAGCAGUACAUGAACCGUGAACUUCCAGAUGUUCAAGCUGGCUUUAGAAAAGGCAGAGGAACCAGAGAUCAAAUUGCCAACAUCCGCUGGAUCAUGGAAAAAGCAAG
ensembl:lncRNA